rnacentral:ncRNA from 1 species
UCGUUCCUUCGGGGAAGGGUGACUCAUUCGAGAAUUCCCAAUCGGUGGUAUAGCCCACGAGCCGAGACGCAAGUCAGAGCAUGAUCCGGUGUGACUCCGGGGCCGACCGUACAGUCGGGAUAAAAGAAGGAUCGC